UACGGAGGGUGCGAGCGUUGUCCGGAAUCAUUGGGUACGUAAGGGCGCGUAGGUGGCGGGACAAGCGUGACGGUGAAAGGCUCGGGACUCACCCCGGGUCGGCCGUGCGAACUGUUUUGCUUGAGCACUGUAGAGGCAGGCGGAAUUCCGGGUGUAGCGGUGGAAUGCGUAGAGAUCCGGAAGAACACCGGUGGCGAAGGCGGCCUGCUGGGCAGUAGCUGACACUGAGGCGCGACAGCGUGGG
rnacentral:rRNA from 1 species